AUGAACGCUGGCGGCGUGCUUAACACAUGCAAGUCGAACGUGAAGAAACCUACUUCGGUAGGUUUUGGAAAGUGGCGAACGGGUGAGUAACACGUAGAUGACCUGCCCUGAAGUGGGGGACAACCAUUGGAAACGAUGGCUAAUACCCUAUGGUCCUAACGGUAUUGGAAGCCGAUAGGUAAAAUUCCGGUGCUUUGGGAGGGGUCUGCGUCCGAUUAGCUUGUUGGUGGGGUAAUGGCCUACCAAGGCAACGAUCGGUAGCUGGUCUGAGAGGAUGAUCAGUCACACGGGAACUGAGACACGGUCCCGACUCCUACGGGGGGCAGCAGUGAGGAAUAUUGCACAAUGGGGGAAACCCUGAUGCAGCAACGCCGCGUGGAGGAUGAAGGCUUUUUGUCGUAAACUCCUUUUCCGAGGGAAGAGAAAGGACGGUACCUCGGGAAUAAGUCACGGCUAACUACGUGCCAGCAGCCGCGGUAAUACGUAGGUGGCGAGCGUUAUCCGGAUUUAUUGGGCGUAAAGCGCACGCAGGCGGCAAAUUAAGUCUGAUGUGAAAUCUCCCGGCUCAACUGGGAGAGGUCGUUGGAAACUGAUUCGCUUGAGGCAAUGAGAGGGGUGUAGAAUUCCUGGUGUAGUGGUGGAAUGCGUAGAUAUCAGGAGGAAUACCAGUGGCGAAAGCGACACCCUGGCAUUGACCUGACGCUCAUGUGCGAAAGCGUGGGGAGCGAACGGGAUUAGACACCCCGGUAGUCCACGCUGUAAACGAUGAACACUAGGUGUAGGUUGGUUCAAAUCUAUCUGUGCCGAAGCAAACGCGAUAAGUGUUCCGCCUGGGGAGUACGGCCGCAAGGCUAAAACUCAAAGGAAUUGACGGGGACCCGCACAAGCAGCGGAGCGUGUGGUUUAAUUCGAUGCAACGCGAAGAACCUUACCUGGGUUUGACAUAUACGUAGUAGUGAACCGAAAGGGGAACGAUCCUUCGGGAAGCGUAUACAGGUGCUGCAUGGCUGUCGUCAGCUCGUGUCGUGAGAUGUUGGGUUAAGUCCCGCAACGAGCGCAACCCCUGUCGUUAGUUACAAGUGUCUAACGAGACUGUCGGUAUCAAGCCGAAGGAAGGUGGGGAUGAUGUCAAGUCAGCAUGGCCUUUAUAUCCAGGGCUACACACACGCUACAAUGGGUAAUACAAUGGGCAGCUAAGGGGCGACCUGGAGCGAAUCCCAUCAAAGUUAUUCGUAGUUCGGAUUGUAGGCUGCAACUCGCCUGCAUGAAGCCGGAGUUGCUAGUAAACGCAGGUCAGCAACACUGCGUUGAAUACGUUCCCGGGUCUUGUACACACCGCCCGUCACGUCAUGGGAGUUGGUAACACCUGAAGUCGGUAACCUAACCGAAAGGAAGGAGCUGCCUAGGGUGGGACUGAUAACUGGGACGA
rnacentral:rRNA from 1 species